UGGGGAAUAUUGCACAAUGGGCGAAAGCCUGAUGCAGCGACGCCGCGUGAGGGAUGACGGCCUUCGGGUUGUAAACCUCUUUCAGCAGGGACGAAGCGCAAGUGACGGUACCUGCAGAAGAAGCAACGGCUAACUACGUGACAGCAGCCGCGGUAAUACGUAGGGUGCAAGCGUUGUCCGGAAUUACUGGGCGUAAAGAGUUCGUAGGCGGUUUGUCGCGUCGUUUGUGAAAACCAGCAGCUCAACUGCUGGCUUGCAGGCGAUACGGGCAGACUUGAGUACUGCAGGGGAGACUGCAAUUCCUGGUGUAGCGGUGAAAUGCGCAGAUAUCAGGAGGAACACCGGUGGCGAAGGCGGGUCUCUGGGCAGUAACUGACGCUGAGGAACGAAAGCGUGGGUAGCGAACAGG
rnacentral:rRNA from 1 species